rnacentral:rRNA from 1 species
UAAUUCGAUGCUACACGAAGAACCUUACCUGGGUUGACAUGCACGUGGUAGGGAACCGAAAGGGGACCGACCUUCGGGAGCGUGCACAGGUGCUGCAUGGCUGUCGUCAGCUCGUGCCGUGAGGUGUCGGGUUAAGUCCCGUAACGAGCGCAACCCUUGCCCUUAGUUACAAGUGUCUAAGGGGACUGCCCGGGACAACUGGGAGGAAGGUGGGGAUGACGUCAAGUCAGCAUGGCCUUUAUAUCCAGGGCUACACACACGCUACAAUGGCCGGUACAAUAGGUUGCGAAGUCGUGAGGCGGAGCCAAUCCUCAAAGCCGGUCUCGGUUCGAAUUGCAGUCUGCAACUCGACUGCAUGAAGCUGGAGUUGCUAGUAAUCGCAGGUCAGCUAUACUGCGGUGAAUACGUUCCCGGGCCUUGUACACACCGCCCGUCACGUCAUGGAAGCUGGCAACGCCUGAAGCCGGUGAGCUAACCCGAAAGGGAGGCAGCCGUCGAGGGUGGGGCUGGUAACUGGGACGAAGUCGUAACAAGGUAACCAAGGGCGAA